AUUAGAGUUUGAUCCUGGCUCAGAUUGAACGCUGGCGGCAGGCCUAACACAUGCAAGCCGAGCGGUAACAGGGGUAGCUUGCUACCCGCUGACGAGCGGCGGACGGGUGAGUAACGCGUGGGAAUCUGCCUGGUAGUGGGGGAUAGCCCGGCGAAAGCCGGAUUAAUACCGCAUACGCCCUUUGGGGGAAAGUGGGGGACCUUCGGGCCUCACGCUAUCAGAUGAGCCCGCGUCGGAUUAGCUAGUUGGUGAGGUAAAGGCUCACCAAGGCGAUGAUCCGUAGCUGGUCUGAGAGGAUGAUCAGCCACACUGGGACUGAGACACGGCCCAGACUCCUACGGGAGGCAGCAGUGGGGAAUAUUGGACAAUGGGGGCAACCCUGAUCCAGCCAUGCCGCGUGUGUGAAGAAGGCCUUCGGGUUGUAAAGCACUUUCAGUGGUGAGGAAAGGCAAGCGGUUAAUACCCGUUUGCUGUGACGUUAGCCACAGAAGAAGCACCGGCUAACUCCGUGCCAGCAGCCGCGGUAAUACGGAGGGUGCGAGCGUUAAUCGGAAUUACUGGGCGUAAAGCGCGCGUAGGUGGUUCAGUCAGUCAGAUGUGAAAGCCCCGGGCUUAACCUGGGAACUGCACCUGAUACUGCUGAACUAGAGUACGGUAGAGGGCAGUGGAAUUUCCGGUGUAGCGGUGAAAUGCGUAGAGAUCGGAAGGAACACCAGUGGCGAAGGCGACUGCCUGGACCGAUACUGACACUGAGGUGCGAAAGCGUGGGUAGCAAACAGGAUUAGAUACCCUGGUAGUCCACGCCGUAAACGAUGUCAACUAGCCGUUGGGGGACUUGAUCCUUUAGUGGCGCAGCUAACGCGAUAAGUUGACCGCCUGGGGAGUACGGCCGCAAGGUUAAAACUCAAAUGAAUUGACGGGGACCCGCACAAGCGGUGGAUGAUGUGGAUUAAUUCGAUGCAACGCGAAAAACCUUACCUACCCUUGACAUGCCAGGAACUUGCCAGAGAUGGCUUGGUGCCCGCAAGGGAACCUGGACACAGGUGCUGCAUGGCUGUCGCCAGCUCGUGUCGUGAGAUGUUGGGUUAAGUCCCGCAACGAGCGCAACCCUUGUCAUUAGUUGCCAUCAUUUGGUUGGGCACUCUAAUGAGACUGCCGGUGACAAACCGGAGGAAGGUGGGGAUGACGUCAAGUCCUCAUGGCCCUUAUGGGUAGGGCUUCACACGUCAUACAAUGGUCGGUACAGAGGGUUGCCAAGCCGCGAGGCGGAGCCAAUCUCAGAAAGCCGAUCGUAGUCCGGAUUGCAUUCUGCAACUCGACUGCAUGAAGUCGGAAUCGCUAGUAAUCGCAGAUCAGCAUGCUGCGGUGAAUACGUUCCCGGGUCUUGCACACACCGCCCGUCA
rnacentral:rRNA from 1 species